rnacentral:rRNA from 1 species
UACCCGCAGCACAAGUGGUGGUCAUUAUUAUUGGGCGUAAAGGGCUCGUAGGCGGUUUGUCGCGUCGGGAGUGAAAACCAGGUGCUUAACACCUGGCUUGCUUUCGAUACGGGCAGACUAGAGGUAUUCAGGGGAGAACGGAAUUCCUGGUGUAGCGGUGAAAUGCGCAGAUAUCAGGAGGAACACCGGUGGCGAAGGCGGUUCUCUGGGAAUGACCUGACGCUGAGGAGCGAAAGUGUGGGGAGCGAACAGG